UAAUUAAUUAAAUUGACCAGGUGACUGUUCUCCUUUCGAAAGAGGCAGGUGGAAUCUCCACGAUUGCUAAUAGCAUAACAUUGAAAGGCUAGUGAAAUAUGGGGAGCCCUAGAGCAUCUGCUUGGCAUGCAGAAUGUCCCAUUGUCAGCCCCUGGCAUCUCCUGCAAGGGCUGGACGAAAUCCCUGCCUGAAACUCUGGGGAGCUGCCAGUCAGUGAAGACCAGGGGUCCUCGUACUAUGUCCCGUGGGCUGAAUCCAGCCCUCCAGGGUCGUGAAUCUGGCCUGCAUGGCCAUUUCAGAACCCACCAAGUGUCCGAGGCUGAAAGCAUCUCGCCGCCCGCUCAGUCAGUCCCUGCGCAGCACUGAGGUAAACGCUACCGGCGUGGUGGCAGCUCUACCAAUGAAAGGCCAGGGGAUUUCGCCCGGGGACGGGGAAGUGAGGCGUUCCCAAAGUAAAGGAAGGAUUCAACUCUGAUUAACAAGAAUACACACAGAGGCUUGAACCAGCAAGACUCUGGGAAGGCAAUCCCACCUGAUCACUACAGGAAGUGUUGUCUUUGGGCUUGAAGAGCGAAGCUGAGGUUGACGGAAGAAGGCAGACUUUGGUCGAUUCGGUUUUGUUACAUAGACGUUUACUUUACAGCUGCUGGAAGAAGAUCAGCUGUACCUGCCGGAGGUGAUUCACAACUGCCAGGCAGCUCAGCUCAGGGGGCUCUGAGGACAUCCUGGACCUCAGAUGUUACGCCCUUUGGGAAAGUGGGGAGGAACAGAAACCAGCAGUCAACAGCAUCCCUUCUCUGCUGGCCUUUGCCCGAAGGUUCCCCCAUCUCACAGCAAGUAGCUCUCCCUCAUGGAUUCAGUCCUUUCAUCACUUCCAUCUCCCCAAGAGUCUCCCAAGGCUACUCAUCCUCUGCAGUUGAUAACAGACCUGACUGAAAAGAACGGCUUCCUCUUCUGGUGACACCAGAGAAUUCUAGAAUACAUUCACCCUUUCCAUAGCAUUAUGGAUGCACGAUUCCCACAGACAAGUUUCUUGGCAAGACAAGGGCCUUCUCUGGCCACUUGAGUGUCCUCCUCAGCAUCUCCAAAGAAGGAGCUGGGUUGCAAGAACU